UUGGUGAGGUAAUGGCUCACCAAGGCUUCGACGGGUAGCCGGCCAGAGAGGGCGACCGGCCACACUGGGACUGAGAUACGGCCCAGACUCCUACGGGAGGCAGCAGUGGGGAAUAUUGCACAAUGGGCGCAAGCCUGAUGCAGCAACGCCGCGUGCGGGAUGACGGCCUUCGGGUUGUAAACCGCUUUCAGUAGGGACGAAGCGCAAGUGACGGUACCUACAGAAGAAGGACCGGCUAACUACGUGCCAGCAGCCGCGGUGAUACGUAGGGUCCGAGCGUUGUCCGGAAUUAUUGGGCGUAAAGGGCUUGUAGGCGGUCCGUCGCGUCAGGAGUGAAAACUCAGGGCUUAACCCUGAGCCUGCUUUUGAUACGGGCGGACUAGAGGGAUGCAGGGGAGAACGGAAUUCCUGGUGGAGCGGUGGAAUGCGCAGAUAUCAGGAGGAACACCGGUGGCGAAGGCGGUUCUCUGGGCAUUACCUGACGCUGAGAAGCGAAAGCGUGGGGAGCAAACAGGCUUAGAUACCCUGGUAGUCCACGCCGUAAACGGUGGGCACUAGGUGUGGGGGACAUUCCACGUUCUCCGUGCCGAAGCUAACGCAUUAAGUGCCCCGCCUGGGGAGUACGG
rnacentral:rRNA from 1 species